GUCCAGAGUAGCUUAACAUUAAAGCAGAGCACUGAAGCUGCUCAAAUGGUUUUCUCAACCCCUUGACA
ensembl:Mt_tRNA